GGAGAGAUGGCUGAGUGGUCGAAAGCGCUGCACUCGAAAUGCAGUGUAGGGUAACCCCCUACCGUGGGUUCGAAUCCCACUCUCUCCGCCA
rnacentral:tRNA from 1 species